rnacentral:rRNA from 1 species
GGCAGUUUCGGGGGCUAUAAUGCAGUCGAGCGGACAGAAGGGAGCUUGCUCCCGGAUGUUAGCGGCGGACGGGUGAGUAACACGUGGGUAACCUGCCUGUAAGACUGGGAUAACUCCGGGAAACCGGAGCUAAUACCGGAUAGUUCCUUGAACCGCAUGGUUCAAGGAUGAAAGACGGUUUCGGCUGUCACUUACAGAUGGACCCGCGGCGCAUUAGCUAGUUGGUGGGGUAAUGGCUCACCAAGGCGACGAUGCGUAGCCGACCUGAGAGGGUGAUCGGCCACACUGGGACUGAGACACGGCCCAGACUCCUACGGGAGGCAGCAGUAGGGAAUCUUCCGCAAUGGACGAAAGUCUGACGGAGCAACGCCGCGUGAGUGAUGAAGGUUUUCGGAUCGUAAAGCUCUGUUGUUAGGGAAGAACAAGUGCGAGAGUAACUGCUCGCACCUUGACGGUACCUAACCAGAAAGCCACGGCUAACUACGUGCCAGCAGCCGCGGUAAUACGUAGGUGGCAAGCGUUGUCCGGAAUUAUUGGGCGUAAAGGGCUCGCAGGCGGUUUCUUAAGUCUGAUGUGAAAGCCCCCGGCUCAACCGGGGAGGGUCAUUGGAAACUGGGAAACUUGAGUGCAGAAGAGGAGAGUGGAAUUCCACGUGUAGCGGUGAAAUGCGUAGAGAUGUGGAGGAACACCAGUGGCGAAGGCGACUCUCUGGUCUGUAACUGACGCUGAGGAGCGAAAGCGUGGGGAGCGAACAGGAUUAGAUACCCUGGUAGUCCACGCCGUAAACGAUGAGUGCUAAGUGUUAGGGGGUUUCCGCCCCUUAGUGCUGCAGCUAACGCAUUAAGCACUCCGCCUGGGGAGUACGGUCGCAAGACUGAAACUCAAAGGAAUUGACGGGGGCCCGACAAGCGGUGGAGCAUGUGGUUUAAUUCCGAGCAACGCGAAGAACCUUACCAGGUCUUGACAUCCUUCUGACAACCCUAGAGAUA